CCUUGGAGAAGGUUAAAUAGCAAUUUGCAUAUAACCAUUGUGGCUUUGCGUAAGUAAGAUGCAAUCAUACUAGAUACCCAUAGCAGCCACUAAAACAUGCAACAACAAAUUAAAGGACGUCUAACUUGUUUUUGGAGGGUAUGCAUGUGAUGUGAUGUGAUAUGGACAAACACAUGAUAUGAUAUCUUGGGUGUAUGAGAUGAUCAUGUUGUAAUAGUUAAAUAUCGACUUGCACGUCGAUGCUACGGCAACCAGCAGGAGCCAUUGGAUUGUCUUUAAUAAUUUUUGCGCUUGGUGAUGCUUUACUUUAU
rnacentral:lncRNA from 1 species